CCUACGGGUGGCAGCAGUGGGGGAUAUUGCACAAUGGGGGGAACCCUGAUGCAGCGACGCCGCGUGGGUGAAGGAGUGCUUCGGCAUGUAAAGCCCUAUCGGCAGGGAGGAAGCAAGACGGUACCUGACUAAGAAGCCCCGGCUAACUACGUGCCAGCAGCCGCGGUAAUACGUAGGGGGCGAGCGUUAUCCGGAUUCACUGGGUGUAAAGGGAGCGUAGACGGCCAUGCAAGCCAGGGGUGAAAGCCCGGGGCCCAACCCCGGGACUGCCCUUGGAACUGUGCGGCUAGAGUGCGGGUGGGGCAGGCGGAAGUCGUGGUGUAGCGGUGAAAUGCGUAGAUAUCAGGAGGAACACCGACGGCGAAGGCAGCCUGCUGGACCGCGACUGACGUUGAGGCUCGAAAGCGUGGGGAGCGAACAGGAUUAGAUACCCCGGUAGUC
rnacentral:rRNA from 1 species